GCUGGGUGCAGUGGUGCAUACUUGUAAUCCCAACUACUUUGGAGGCUGAGGCAGGAGGAUCACAAGUUUGAGACCAGCCUCAG
rnacentral:sRNA from 1 species